UGUAAUAUAAAACUUUCUGGAACUUUUAGCCUGGUGGGAAGGCUCUGCUGUAAGCGUUAGGAUUGCUCUUGUCUAAAAUUAAAGCACCCACGCCUAUUGCUGAAACUGGCUAGUACACAUGGAAGGCCUGAUUUAGACUUCCACGGUUGAUCAGGGAACCAUCAGAGCCCUACCUUAGCUGAAGUUACAGACAUACCCUGCUUCAGACUUAUCAGGAGAGGGUGUGUCUAUAUUACAUGUGGACACACGUCCACUCCGGUUCGAGAUCCUAUGGCCCACGUCAAGAACAGAAAGCAGCUGCUCAUGCAGACGGUGUGUGAAACAUUAGCUGCGUUUUGCAAACAUGUAAGAAUUUCCCAGUGAGAAUCUUGACCGCAGAUGUGGGCCUGGCAGCUCCUCCUGGGCCUUGUGCCUGGGGCUCAGCCCUGGGGAUGCUGUUCAAGCUACACUUCCAGCCUGGCUCAACAUCUGACUGUCCCUCUGUACAAAGGGGCUGGUUUUGAGGUUCUGGGUCACAAGGUGGAUCAAGCCCUUGCCCCUUAUCCCAGGGAGGGAAACUCCUAACAGCUGAAGCAAAGUCUGCUUUAUCACACUGACCUCUGACCCUUCUCAAGCUUUCUGAACAAACCUCAACCAGGUUAACCUAAAAUCACCAUUCUCAAAUCUGCCUGUGCAUGACCUAAGGGAAUCUUUCAUUAAUUUUUUUUUUUUUUUUUUGAGGUAGAGUCUUGCUCUGUCGCCCAGGCUGGAGUGCAGUGGCGCAAUCUGGGCUCACUGCAACUUCCGCCUCCCGUGUUCAAGCGAUUCUCCUGCUUCAGCCUCCCGAGUAGCUGGGAUUAUAGGCAAAUGCCACCAUGUUCAGCUAAUUUUUGUAUUUUUAGUAGAGAUGGGGUUUCGCCAUGUUGGCCAGGCUGGUCUCUAACUUCUGACCUCAGGUGAUCCGCCCGUCUCGUCUCGGCCUCCCAAAGUACUGGGAGCCAUCACACCCGGCCUAAGAGAAUCUUUUAAAAUGCAGGUUUUGAUCCUUUAGUUCUUAAACAUGACAAUUGGAUGUUUAUGCAUAUGUGUGAGAUGUGUCACCCUUGAACCUUGUUACCAUGUCUGCACAUUACCUAUCUGACAUGAAAAAAAAAAGAAAAAUGCAGGUUUCUCAGCCCCUCCCAGACUUACUGAAUAAGGCUUUCUCAGGCAGAAGGUCAUGAAUUUGUCAUUGAACAUGUCUUAGUCCAUUCAGCUGCUAUAACAAAAAUACCAUAGACUGGGUGGCUUAUAAACAACAGAAUUUUUUGUUGUUUUUAUCUUUUUUUUUUUUUUUUUUUUUUUUGAGACGGAAUUCUCACUUUUUUGCCCAGGCUAGAGUGCAGUGGAGCAAUCUUGGCUCACUGCAACCUCCGUCUCCCAGGUUCAAGCAAUUCUCCUGCCUCAGCCUCCCAAGUAGCCGGGAUUACAGGUAUGUGCCACCACAUCCAGCUAAUUUUUUGUAUUUUUAGUAGAGAUGGGGUUUCACCAUAUUGGCCAGGCUGGUCUUGAACUCCUAACCUCAGAUGAUCCACCCACCUCGGCCUCCCAAAGUGCUGGGAUUACAGGUGUGAGCCACCAUGCCUGGC
rnacentral:lncRNA from 1 species